AACGCACCUUGCGCCUCUUGGUAUUCCGAGAGGCAUGCCUGUUUGAGUGUCAUUAAAUUCUCAACCUCAAAAGCUUUUGCUUAUUGAGUGCUUGGAUGUGAGGGCUGCUGGCUUUGAAUAAGAGUCGGCUCCCUUUAAAUGCAUUAGUGGAAACCUUGUGUAGGCCACAUUGGUGUGAUAAUUAUCUACGCCAUUGGCAUUGUGUCUACAGUCGGAGUGGUUUAACGAUCACUACGGUUUGGAGGGCUGCAGUUUGUAAUGAAUUGCUCUCUCUGUCGAAGGUAUCUGCUUCAAACUGUCCUAAGUUAUUGGACAAUAUUUGAACUGUUUGACCUCAAAUCAGGUAGGACUACCCGCUGAACUUAA
rnacentral:misc_RNA from 1 species